GUGAGGAAUAUUGCGCAAUGGAGGCAACUCUGACGCAGCCAUGCCGCGUGCAGGAAGAAGGCGCUACGCGUUGUAAACUGCUUUUAACCGGGAAGAAACCCCAGGACGUGUCCUGGGUUGACGGUACCGGAGGAAUAAGCACCGGCUAACUUCGUGCCAGCAGCCGCGGUAAUACGCAGGGUGCAAGCGUUCUCCGGAUUCAUUGGGUUUAAAGGGUGCGUAGGCGGAGCGUUAAGUCAGUGGUGAAAUCCUGCAGCUUAACUGUAGACUUGCCAUUGAUACUGGCGCUCUUGAGUGCGCUUGAAGUGGGCGGAAUGUGCCGUGUAGCGGUGAAAUGCUUAGAUAUGGCACAGAACACCAAUUGCGAAGGCAGCUCACUAAGGCGAUACUGACGCUGAGGCACGAAAGCGUGGGGAUCGAACAGGAUUAGAUACCCGGGUAGUCC
rnacentral:rRNA from 1 species